UUUCAUCAACACACACAGACUUGAGGUUUCUUGUACAGAGACAGAGUUGUGUUGAGGUUUCCUGUACAGAGACAGAGUUGUGUUGAGGUUUCCUGUACAGAGACAGAGUUGUGUUGAGGUUUCCUGUACAGAGACAGAGUUGUGUUGAGGUUACCUGUACAGAGACAGAGUUGUGUUGAGGUUACCUGUACAGAGACAGAGUUGUGUUGAGGUUACCUGUACAGAGACAGAGUUGUGUUGAGGUUUCCUGUACAGAGACAGAGUUGUGUUGAGGUUACCUGUACAGAGACAGAGUUGUGUUGAGGUUACCUGUACAGAGACAGAGUUGUGUUGAGGUUACCUGUACAGAGAAAGAGUUGUGUUGAGGUUACCUGUACAGAGACAGACUUGUGUUGAGGUUACCUGUACAGAGACAGAGUUGUGUUGAGGUUACCUGUACAGAGACAGAGUUGUGUUGAGGUUACCUGUACAGAGAAAGAGUUGUGUUGAGGUUACCUGUACAGAGACAGACUUGUGUUGAGGUUACCUGUACAGAGACAGAGUUGUGUUGAGGUUACCUGUACAGAGACAGAGUUGUGUUGUGUUGAGGUUACCUGUACAGAGACAGAGUUGUGUUGUGUUGAGGUUACCUGUACAGAGAAAGAGUUGUGUUGAGGUUACCUGUACAGAGACAGAGUUGUGUUGUGUUGAGGUUACCUGUACAGAGACAGAGUUGUGUUGUGUUGAGGUUACCUGUACAGAGAAAGAGUUGUGUUGAGGUUACCUGUACAGAGACAGAGUUGUGUUGAGGUUACCUGUACAGAGACAGAGUUGUGUUGAGGUUUCCUGUACAGAGACAGAGUUGUGUUAAGGUUACCUGUACAGAGACAGAGUUGUGUUGAGGUUACCUGUACAGAGACAGAGUUGUGUUGAGGUUACCUGUACAGAGACAGAGUUGUGUUGAGGUUACCUGUACAGAGACAGAGUUGUGUUGAGGUUUCCUGUACAGAGACAGAGUUGUGUUAAGGUUACCUGUACAGAGACAGAGUUGUGUUGAGGUUACCUGUACAGAGACAGAGUUGUGUUGAGGUUACCUGUACAGAGACAGAGUUGUGUUGAGGUUUCCUGUACAGAGACAGAGUUGUGUUAAGGUUACCUGUACAGAGACAGAGUUGUGUUGAGGUUACCUGUACAGGGACAGACUUGUGUUGAGGUUACCUGUACAGAGACAGACUUGUGUUGAGGUUUACUGUACAGAGACAGAGUUGUGUUGAGGUUUCCUGUACAGAGACAGAGUUGUGUUGAGGUUACCUGUACAGAAACAGAGUUGUGUUGAGGUUACCCGUACAGAGACAGAGUUGUGUUGAGGUUACCUGUACAGAGACAGAGUUGUGUUGAGGUUACCUGUACAGAGACAGAGUUGUGUU